CACGUAGGGGGCAAGCGUUGUCCGGAUUUAUUGGGCGUAAAGAGCUCGUAGGUGGCUGAGUAAGUCGGAUGUUAAAUCCCCAGGCUCAACCUGGGACACCACCCGAUACUGCUCUAGCUAGAGUCCGGUAGGGGAGCAUGGAAUUCCUGGUGUAGCGGUGAAAUGCGUAGAGAUCGGGAAGAACAUCGGUGGCGAAAGCGCUCUACUGGGCCAUAACUGACACUCAGGGACGAAAGCUAGGGGAGCAAAUGGG
rnacentral:rRNA from 1 species